rnacentral:rRNA from 1 species
CGGGUGAGUAACACGUGGGUAACCUGCCCAUCAGAGGGGGAUAACAUUCGGAAACGGAUGCUAAAACCGCAUAGGUCCUUUAACCGCAUGGUUGAAGGAGGAAAAGAGGCGCAAGCUUCUGCUGAUGGAUGGACCCGCGGUGCAUUAGCUAGUUGGUGAGGUAACGGCUCACCAAGGCCGUGAUGCAUAGCCGACCUGAGAGGGUGAUCGGCCACAUUGGGACUGAGACACGGCCCAAACUCCUACGGGAGGCAGCAGUAGGGAAUCUUCCGCAAUGGACGCAAGCCUGACGGAGCAACGCCGCGUGAGUGAAGAAGGUUUUCGGAUCGUAAAACUCUGUUGUUAGAGAAGAACAAGUGCUAGAGUAACUGUUAGCGCCUUGACGGUAUCUAACCAGAAAGCCACGGCUAACUACGUGCCAGCAGCCGCGGUAAUACGUAGGUGGCAAGCGUUGUCCGGAUUUAUUGGGCGUAAAGCGAGCGCAGGCGGUUCCUUAAGUCUGAUGUGAAAGCCCCCGGCUCAACCGGGGAGGGUCAUUGGAAACUGGGGAACUUGAGUGCAGAAGAGGAGAGUGGAAUUCCAUGUGUAGCGGUGAAAUGCGUAGAUAUAUGGAGGAACACCAGUGGCGAAGGCGACUCUCUGGUCUGUAACUGACGCUGAGGCUCGAAAGCGUGGGUAGCAAACAGGAUUAGAUACCCUGGUAGUCCACGCCGUAAACGAUGAGUGCUAAGUGUUGGAGGGUUUCCGCCCUUCAGUGCUGCAGUUAACGCAUU